GUUUAUCAGAAACUCGUUCAGCAACAUACAGUUCCUUCGCUAUAAGCAUCUCCCAAUCAGCCAGCAAUUAUCAAGUAAGACAAUACACCUGUAACACUGCAGAAUGGGUAAAGCAGUUCCUUGAAGCUGAAAACACUGAAAUAAUUAAAUGAUCGGGCCAGUGUCCUGAUCUAAACACAACUGAAAUUCUCUGGAAAAUCAUUUGCGACAAAGUUAUGGUUAAGAAACCUACUACAGUCGCUGAACUGUGGAAGAAAGUAGAAGAGUGGACCAAGAUCACACUAGAGCUGUGUGAGAAACUCUGUCUGUUGCAAAUGUGCUUAAGUCAUUCAAAGCAAGGUAUACUUGACCGAUGAAAAUUAACAAUAUUUCAGAAACAAAUCAAUUAUUUAUAGAUUGUUCUCUUAUUUCAUCUCCACUGUAUUUGAGAUGGUGAAGUUGAAGCUGAAGGGAUGUGAUUGUUCUGAAGGCUCGCAGUAGAUUUAUCCAGUGUUACAGCAGGGUACUGUAAGCCCACUGUUACUGCCUGGGAGUCCCUGGUACAGCACGGAACAUCUCUUGUUAAGGCCUCCAGGCUCUCUCACUCUCACACACACCAACACAGCAAAAAUGUGCCAAUGUGUGCUCGAGAAUGCCACAGGCUGGUGUCCUUCCCUCAGUCUCUUAUUCCUAACUCUUUCCAACCAGCCCCAAGAUGUUCUUCAAGAGCGAGUCUCGUUUUUCUUCAGCAACAGCAGCUGGAAACAGUGCCGCCUGACACAUUGCCAGCUCUCACCGACUGGUUCCUCUGCUUCCCUCUGACAGGAGCGAAGGCUACGGCCCAAUGCUUACUCAGAAACAGAGACCCUGAGGUACCAGACAUAGUUAGAUGGAAAGGAUAUAGGGAUUCCAGACGUGUCUCAAGAUCAGGAGACACUACAGUAUGGACCUAAGUGGGGGCUGGACCUCCACUACAUGAACAAAUGUUAACCAAACAGCAUCAAGUCCUAUCUACUGCAAUACGGAGUGAUCGACAUGCUGGCUUGGGAAACAAGCAUUGCUUCAUCAUUAAGUAAUGUACAACGUAAGUUAAGAUGUUCUUAAGAGCAUGAUUUGUAAUUGUCUCAGAAAUCCAGCUUAAGUCUUUUAUUAACAUUCCCUCUGAUUCUGUCUGGCCUGUGGAUGCAGGGCUGUGUGAGUGUAGCAGUGAGUGAGUUUAUGGUGAGAGAAGUCAACAGCGAGCUGUGAGAAUGAGUGGAGAGCAAACACACAUGCAGUAUACUAACAUCACUUCAGACGUCAUCAGGACCAAACAUGAGAAAGUGAAAAACCCCUGUCUCACCAAAAUGUCAAAAAAAUCUUCAAAGUAUGUUUAUGGUCAAUAUGAGCUGAAGUUAAUCAGACAUUGCCAGGAAGAUCUGAGAGGUGAUAUUACCACUGGAAUGAGGGUGUUCAAAACAAAACUAUUACAAAGAGCCAGCAUACUUGGACAAUGACUCAAAAAACUCAAGGGUGGGUCUCUGGGUGUUUGUUAUUUUGCAGAAAACGUGCUAUGCAAUACCCUUUUUCAAAGGCUCAUGAUCAGUCAAGGCUGAGUGACCACACUGCAUUAAGACUUUCACCCGGUUACACCCUUAAGACAUACAAUCAAGCCUGUCUUCUCUUUCCACAGGUCUGGGUUUUUAGCCUAUCACAUCUCAUCUGAUUCAGCAGCAGUGAGGUGGAGCUCUAAUCUGAGCUGUGGCACAAAUGUGCAACAUCAGCUAAUAAAGUUCAACAUCUGAACCAGCAUCUGUAUCAGAUUUGGGUCAGCUGCGUAGACUAAACAGGUGUCGGUUUUUCUUGCUCUUAUGAUUUUCAGUCUGAGAAAGAUUCAGAAGGUGUUCAGCGUUAUGACUACAGUUUCAGAUGUUUAAUGCUGACAUCGCUAUUUAAGCAUGAUGUCAUUGUGUAACACUGGGUUGAAGUUCUGCCAAGCUUUAAGCAUGAUAUAACUGAGAUUUUUAUUGUAUUGUCAUAACUAUGCAUGAUAUAAACAGGAAGCCAAAGGAAAUGCAUGAAGUCACUAAAAUGAGAGUAUCUGUGUACUGUAGAGGUCAUAUGCAAUUUAUCAUGUGUAUUUUUUCUCACAAUGGCUAUUUAAAACCAUUUACUCUCUACAGUGCAUGUUAAUUAUCUUGUAUAUGUGUUUGAAGCUUUACAAGGCCUAAUUGCUAGUACUUCCAUUACUGAAAAUAAACAUGAUGCGCUUUAUGAACAAUGACAUUAAGGGUUGUUUACACAGCCUCUCUCGUAAACUGUGUCCUCUACAAAUGUAUCUUUAUGGCAUACUAACACUUCCUAAUAAAAAGCAAAGCCUCAAUUACAGAGUGUAGCUGUUUGAAAUAAGCACACACAUCCCUUAAGCCCAAAAGAGAGCUUAUCUAAUGAGGA
ensembl:lncRNA